UACGUAGGGGGCAAGCGUUGUCCGGAUUUAUUGGGCGUAAAGAGCUCGUAGGUGGUUCGGUAAGUCGGAUGUGAAAUCUCCAGGCUCAACCUGGAGGGGUCAUUCGAUACUGCCGUGACUAGAGUUCGGUAGGGGAGUGUGGAAUUCCUGGUGGAGCGGUGAAAUGCGCAGAUAUCUGGAGGAACACCGGUGGCGAAGGCGGCAUCCUGGACCAUUACUGACACUGAAACGCGAAAGCCAGGGGAGCAAACGGG
rnacentral:rRNA from 1 species